CGAUCCCACAGCUCCUCGCAGCGCUCCUCCGUCCAGGGGGGUGAAGAUCGCACCUCCUCCGGGGCGAUGUCCCCCUCCUCCGCCCAAACGGUGGCACCUGGAAGAGGAAGGUGACGGGACGGUGUUAUUCUUCACAUUCAUGUGAUGUCUGAAUUGGAAAUCUUGGGAGAUGACGACCACAUUUUCUACGAAGGGUCACACAUUUGCGACACUUCCUCACCUGCUGCUGGUUCACAUUCCCUGCGGUUCUUAAAUGAGCAUCGACAGCAGCAGGAGAAGCCGUCCUGUGGGGAGGGAUAACAACAAAGUCAGUGUGCUCCAUCAGCAUCAGUGUGCACGCUCCGAACAUGAAUACAGUCCGUCUGUGAAGUACAAUGGCUGGUUUCAAUGCUCAGCAGCUUUCCCAGACAUCAUCAUCAUCAUCAUCAUCAUCAUCAUCAUCAUCAUCAGUCUCCCCACCGCGACCCAGCACACAGGAACAAGGGAUUAACCCUCGCUGAGUCUUUGUGACUCACUCAGAACUACUGACAUCUCCAAACUUCUACUUCUCUCAAGCUUUUUUAGGACUGAAACACGACAGCAACGUUUCCCACAGUACGUUAUUUUCUCAGAUUGGUGCAAUUUAUUAUCUGCUGUAGGUCUGAAGGCAGAAACUAUCUCGAGGAGUUGCUCAAGAAAAUAGAGAGAAGUUGUAAGUGCCUUGGAAACUAUUUUUUAAAUUCUAAUUUGGGAAUUUUGGAGGAGACUGUUGUGCAUAAAUCUGACACAGGCAAAAAAACCCAAAGAGCAGUAAAUAUAGUUAUGUUUUUUUUUUUUUUUAACCAGUAAAAGUUGCAAAUGCAGCAACAAACUCACGAUCCCUCACUGGCUUCCCACUUGGAAAGGAGUUGUUUUUCAAACCUUCUCCCCUAUUUCAUACUUAAUUGAUAGAUUUUUGGUAUUCCAGUUAACACUUGAUUAUCCUGAGAAAUAUUCAAGAAGAAGAAACCGAUGUGCAGAGCAGACGGGACACGAGGCGUCAAGUGUAAAGAUUCAGUUACAAUUUCAUAGCUGAUAUAUUUUGGAUAUUUACCUCAUUUUCUGCUUAUUUGAGACAAAAAACGUGUUAUAUGUAAUUGUUAACAGUGUAUAUGUAAAAAAAAAAAAAAAAAGUUAAAUCUAAAUGUGAGGAAAAGUGAGUUAAAUAUAAAAUUGUAACUGAUUUUUUACAUUCGGCGCCCCGUCUUCUGUCCUGAGAAACAUCUGACUCUUAGAUUUAGAUCAGGCUUCUGAAAACAAAGGUAAUAAAUGUUUCAGCGUGUGUCUGAGCUCAUGCCGAGGACUGACGUUACAACGCUGUGUUGUCUGCGGGACCAGACAACGACACCGGGGUCGACUUCUUUUAUGUUCCCCUCAACCCAACGCUCCAUAUAUCACCCCCCCCCCCCAAAAAAAAGGUUCAACUGAUCAGUCCCACUUCCUGAAUGAUGUUCUCCAAACGCACAUCUGGGAGUCUGGGAGUCUGUCCUCCAGAACAGGGGCCAGAUUCACAAAACACACAUCCAAACUGCACGGCCAUCAUGAAGAGUGAUGCUGCAGCUGUUGUCAACAGGAGCUGCUCGCCCUCCCAGGUUCACAGCAAAGAUGAUCCCUCCAUUUCUCAUGUCUUUGUCCAGGCUGCAUCACACACCCUCAGCUUGAUCUUUUCUGGCUCCAGUCUGAAGGAUCACCGCCCUGAAGAAUCUCUGUUUCCUCCAUCAGGACGCAGCAGCUGGUGCCAGCAGCGAUCGUUCCUCCGUUAUAAGUGAAACCGCAGACGUAUCCUGAUCAUUGGAACUCGCUGCAAAGACACAUGAAAUCAUCACAACACAAAGUGCUGUAGUUUUUCAUCUCAUGAAAGUGAACAGAGUCGAGCUUUAAGAUUAAAAGAAUCAUUUCCGGUUCAUUCAAAUUUUUUGGUUUUUAUUUUGCUGAGGAUAUUUUAUUACAUUUUGGAAAAGUCACAAAAUGAUCUGACCUUUUUGUUUUUUGCUCCACAUUUUUAUUCCUCCGACAGUCGGAGCCGGAGCCAUGUUGUUUUCAGGUUGUCUCAUUCUCGUGGACACGAUAUCUCUGAAACGCCUUGACAGAACUUCUUCAAAUUUUGCCCAAACAUUCAGCAGGACUCAAGGAUGAACUGAUUAGAUAUUGGUGGCUAAAGGUCAAAGGUCACAGUGACCUGUGGACGCAAGAGCUCCAGAACUCCACAGGGGAAUCCCUUCAAAUCUUGCACAAAUGUUCAGUAGGACUCAAGGAUGAACUGAUUAGAUUUCAAAGGUCAAAGGUCAAAGGUCAAAGUCAUGGUGACCUCAGAAAACACUUUUUAGCCUUUACUCAAGACUUCACACAGAAAUUAUGACUAAAAGUUACCUGACACUAGUCUGAGUGGAGGAGGGAUACAACCACAAGGAGGUGAUUCUGGGUUUGCUAUGUAUAUGUGGUGAUGUCCACACACACACACACACACACACACACACACACACACACACACACCACAGUGUGCCUAUAUGUGCUUGUAUUUUUGUUUUAUACCAACAAACACACUGAGGCAUUGAGGCGAGCCUUUCAGGGCCACUGGUAUCUAAUUAUUUAAAAUAAAAGUUAC